CUGCUGCCUCCCGUAGGAGUCUGGUCCGUGUCUCAGUACCAGUGUGGGGGACCUUCCUCUCAGAACCCCUACGCAUCGUCGCCUCGGUGGGCCGUUACCCCGCCGACUAGCUAAUGCGACGCAUGGCCAUCCUAUGCCGGAGUCGCCUCCUUUGACCCCAAGAAGAUGUCUCCUAAAGGUGUUAUGCGGUAUUAGACGGAAUUUCUUCCGCUUAUCCCCCUGCAUAGGGCAGGUUCCAUACGUGUUACUCACCCGUGCGCCGGUCCG
rnacentral:rRNA from 1 species